rnacentral:rRNA from 1 species
GAUGAACGCUGGCGGCGUGCCUAAUACAUGCAAGUCGAGCGAACGGACGAGAAGCUUGCUUCUCUGAUGUUAGCGGCGGACGGGUGAGUAACACGUGGAUAACCUACCUAUAAGACUGGGAUAACUUCGGGAAACCGGAGCUAAUACCGGAUGAUAUUUUGAACCGCAUGGUUCAAAAGUGAAAGACGGUCUUGCUGUCACUUAUAGAUGGAUCCGCGCCGCAUUAGCUAGUUGGUAAGGUAACGGCUUACCAAGGCAACGAUGCAUAGCCGACCUGAGAGGGUGAUCGGCCACACUGGAACUGAGACACGGUCCAGACUCCUACGGGAGGCAGCAGUUGGGAAUCUUCCGCAAUGGGCGAAAGCCUGACGGAGCAACGCCGCGUGAGUGAUGAAGGUCUUCGGAUCGUAAAACUCUGUUAUUAGGGAAGAACAUAUGUGUAAGUAACUGUGCACAUCUUGACGGUACCUAAUCAGAAAGCCACGGCUAACUACGUG